rnacentral:rRNA from 1 species
AUUGAACGCUGGCGGCAUGCUUUACACAUGCAAGUCGAACGGCAGCGAGGAGAAGCUUGCUUCUCUGUCGGCGAGUGGCGACCGGGUGAGUAUAGCAUCGGAACGUGCCAAGUAGUGGGGGAUACCCAAACGAAAGUUUGGCUAAUACCGCGUAAGCUCUAAGGAGGAAAGUAGGGGACCUAAAUAAGGCCUUACGCUAUUUGAUCGGCCGAUGUCGGAUUAGCUAGUUGGUGGGGUAAUGGCUCACCAAGGCAAUGAUCCGUAGCGGGUCUGAGAGGACGAUCCGCCACACUGGGACUGAGACAAGGCCCAGACUCCUACGGGAGGCAGCAGGGGGGAAUUUUGGACAAUGGGGGAAACCCUGAUCCAGCCAUGCCGCGUGUAUGAAGAAGGCCUUAGGGUUGUAAAGUACUUUUGUUAGGGAAGAAAAGCUAGUUUUUAAUAAAAAUUAGUGAUGACGGUACCUAAAGAAUAAGCACCGGCUAACUACGUG